UAAUGAUGGUGGUGGUGGUGGUGGUGGUGGUGGUGAUGAUGAUGAAAAUUAAGAUGAUGAACAUCAUCAUCAUCAUCAUCAUCAUCAUCAUGACGA
rnacentral:pre_miRNA from 1 species